rnacentral:piRNA from 1 species
CUAAGGUCCACGCAGUUCAAAAU